rnacentral:rRNA from 1 species
GACGGAGGGUGCAAGCGUUAAUCGGAAUUAUUGGGCGUAAAGGGCGCGUAGGCGGUUUUGUAAGUAGGCUGUGAAAUCCUUGGGCUUAACCCAAGAACUGCAGUCUAGACUGCAUGACUAGAGAUCAGUGGAGGGAGGUGGAAUUCCUGGUGUAGCAGUGAAAUGCGUAGAGAUCAGGAAGAACACCAGUGGCGAAGGCGGCCUCCUGGGCUGCAUCUGACGCUGAGGCGCGAAAGCGUGGGGAGCAAACAGG